rnacentral:rRNA from 1 species
UACAGAGGGUGCGAGCGUUAAUCGGAGUUACUGGGCGUAAAGGGCGCGUAGGCGGUAAGAUGUGUGUGAUGUGAAAGCCCCGGGCUUAACCUGGGAAGUGCAUCGCAAACUAUCUAACUAGAGUAUAUGAGAGGGUGGCGGAAUUUCCGGUGUAGCGGUGAAAUGCGUAGAGAUCGGAAGGAACGUCAAUGGCGAAGGCAGCCACCUGGCAUAAUACUGACGCUGAGGCGCGAAAGCGUGGGGAGCGAACAGG